rnacentral:misc_RNA from 1 species
GGGAGACUUAGCCAGCUCUUCUUUCUGCAUUCAGAAUCACCUUAACCGAUCAUUGGCGAAGUCACUAGUCAUGAAGGGUAUCUCUCAAGAUGCCAAACCAUCUAAACUUCAUGUAUCCCAUAAAUCAAGUAGAAUAUCAGUUCUGUCAGAGAGCUUUAACACCAUAUCACUGAAGAUAGAGAGAUUCACAUUCUUGUGGUAGAUAUUCAGGCAGGGAAGUGAGAUUGACAAACCCGGAUGCAAAUUUUCAAGUUGGGAACACACCAAAUAAAAUCUUGAUUUUAGUUGUGUGUUUUUUUAAAACAACACCAACCCUCAUUAAGACUUCGAGAUUAACUUAUGUCAUGUUUGGUUACCCGAGGAGGCAAGACAAAUUACACAGUUUUCAUUCAAAUGUUUGAUGCUCAUGAAAAAACACUACCUAGAAAUUACACGACAACAACAACAACGAUUAAUAAACAAACUGGAGAGGGUAGAGAGUACUCAAACC